rnacentral:rRNA from 1 species
UGGGGAAUAUUGGACAAUGGGGGGAACCCUGAUCCAGCCAUGCCGCGUGUGUGAAGAAGGCCUUAUGGUUGUAAAGCACUUUAAGCGAGGAGGAGGGUACUGGUAUUAAUACUACCAGGUACUGGACGUUACUCGCAGAAUAAGCACCGGCCAACUCUGUGCCAGCAGCCGCGGUAAUACAGAGGGUGCGAGCGUUAAUCGGAUUUACUGGGCGUAAAGCGUGCGUAGGCGGCUAAUUGAGUCGGAUGUGAAAUCCCCGGGCUUAACUUGGGAAUUGCAUUCGAUACUGGUUAGCUAGAGUGUGGGAGAGGAUGGUAGAAUUCCAGGUGUAGCGGUGAAAUGCGUAGAGAUCUGGAGGAAUACCGAUGGCGAAGGCAGCCAUCUGGCCUAACACUGACGCUGAGGUACGAAAGCAUGGGGAGCAAACAGG